rnacentral:lncRNA from 1 species
AGGUUCUCAGAGAGAGCGAUGAGAGAGUUAUUUGUGAGGAUUUUCAUUUGAGAGAGAGAGUGAGGUAGUUAUGAGUGGCAAGGUGAGGUGUGUGAGUGGCUAUUUAGUAAGGGAGACGUGAGGUAAGGAAUGGACGCGUGGAAGAGAGACAUUGGAGUUUCUAUUUUUUUAUUUUUUAUUUUUGUUAUUUAUUUUUUAUAUUUUUAAAUUUUAAUACAAAAGAAAUGAAUUAGUUAAUAAAAUAAAAUAAAUUUACACUAGAUACUAAAUAAAUCCAUUUAAACAUGCUAAUUU